UACGUGGGAGGCAAGCGUUGUCCGGAGUUACUGGGCGUAAAGGGCCCGCAGGCGGUGGAGUAAGUUUGGAGUGACAGUUCCCAGCUUAACCGGGAAAGGACUUCGAAAACUGCUCGACUUGAGGACUGGAGAGGAAGGCGGAAUUCCGGGUGUAGCGGUGGAAUGCGUAGAGAUCCGGAAGAACACCAGUGGCGAAGGCGGCCCGCUGGGCAGUGGCUGACGCUGAGGCGCGACAGCGUGGGGAGCAAACAGG
rnacentral:rRNA from 1 species